rnacentral:rRNA from 1 species
GGGGACGCAGCAGCAGAGCGCACAAGAAGAGGGGGGGAGAGAGAGGGCCUAAGCAUAGGGAGGGGCGACGGACCAAGCUAGGUUAAACAAGAAGGGGGGGCGCGUUAAACGACGCGGCUGCCGCUGCCCGGUGCCGCGCGUACGGGACGGCCGUGGGCGUGGCCGUGUCCGUGGCCUCGCCGCGAUUAACUAAGGGAGAGUACAACCGUAUCCAACGGUCUUUUGAAGUCGUCCCCUUUUUUACCAAGUCGAGAAAGACGUUCACGGCCGUCUGCUGCCGUCACAGCUAUGUCUACGACACUCUCGCUCCUCCAGAGACGACCUGUUCCGACUCAGCCACUAGUUCAGCCAACAUUCCAGGCCUCCGGCCAUGCUCCGAGCCUACACCGACACGUCAUGGCAGAGCAGCUAAGUAGACGAGCUAGGCGCACUGGUCGCCCUGGACAAGGAGGUAGAGGACCUCUACUUCCUGAACUCCGCCCUACAGCGACGUGCGGACGACGCCUACUAAAAGCUGUUCUUCGGACGCUUCCGACCGAGGCAAAAUCGCUUCUUCACAGUAUACGACCUCUUUAAAAAACUUCCUUUGGGACUCGCCUAUGACGUUACCAAAUCGGUGAAACGACGAUGACCCCUCAGUCGUGUGUUUUUCCCACGAGCCCGUGAACGAGUCAAACGUAAACAAUUAGCACUACAAACGACCCUCCUCGAACUCACCUUUCCGUCCGUACCAGUCAGAGGACGACAACAACGAUGAUUCGGAGUGAUGAAAGCACUAGAACUACAAGAGGUCUGUCACCUUUUAAAGGAACUUAUACAGGGUCUGAAGACCAGAAGUCUUCUCGAACGACUAAGACAGUUUCUACCAGUUUAUGACGUUUAACUAUGUCUUAUAAAACAUCUAGUUAAACAGAUAAACUACAUACUCCCCUUAAAGUUUCUACACACCGUUCAUCAACUUCUAAAAGACUACCUCCUCGUCAAAAGGUGGGACAGAGUCAUACAAGAAUAAGUAGAUCUGCUUGUUUCCGAAGAAGCAAAGAAUUUUUGUAAUCCCUUCGAGUAGUCAGGCCUACGUGUCACGUGUUUCAAUCGUAAGGGUACGACGACCGAACUCCAAGAAAACAGCCGUGUAUAACUAGUCUAUAGAGAACUACUUGAAUAGGAUAACUUGACACAGUAACGGUUCCCAUCUGUUGAAACCGUAGAGUACUUACUGCUUCUUGUGCUCCUUCUUGCUCCCUCCUACUUGCUCGAACACUCCUGGUACUUACUGAACUGACUACGAUUAGUAAAACGAGAGUAUUUCCUAAAGUACCCAUGUUUCAAAGGACUGCGUGAGUUCACCUAUCCGUAGGUCAGGACCCAUUAAAAUACACCAAACAGUUUUAAUACGUUUAGUCGACAAAGAACACUUAGAGACAAGUGACCAUUGUCGUAUCUUAAAGCGUUCCGAAUACUAAUAAGUAACCAAGUCUUGCUACCCGUGAGUCAAAGUGUAUGAAGUCUAUGACUACUCUUCCUAGACUGAUCUUCAUCAGUAUUUUUUUCUUUCUCUCUAUUCUUCUCUUCUGCUGUAUCUAUACUAAGGCUGCUCCUAUUACAACUAGUCGACGAACUUGACUCUUGAAAGUGACCCUUCUCCCGAUAACUUAGUGUUACACCUUCGACCAUGGACAGUUGACUACUGAAGAGACGAGGAACCCUGUAACGGCUGUAUGGCCUAGUGGAAAGAUGAACAAUAGAAUCUCACACCGACUUUACCCGAACGAAAUCUACUAGGAGGAGGAACACCGUGUACACACCGUUAGUAUGAUCGAAGAGACCACUUCACCUCGACAAAUAUGUACGUAAAAGGGUUUACCGUAUACGUUAGAAGUCUGGUACGUAGGACUACUAAGUACGUAAAACCUACACAAUUGACGUACUCAAGCGUGCUAUGGGAUCUGGUCUUACAGAGGACCCCAAGUAGGCUCAUCCAACCACGGUUACCUUUAAGGCCGAUGUACCUGUACCUUUUAUCGACAUCAUAACGGGACUUUGUUCAAACUUACGGCAAAAACUAUAAUAAUGUCUAGAAUCACAACUAGUGCCCCAUCAUGUUUGAUUAGACGUCAGCAUUCAUACUGGGCCACUAUGUAGUGUCAAACAUUGACGAGAACCAAAAAGACUAAUUUGCAUAAGAUCUACGCGUAGUGGUCGUGGUCGAUUCUUAAAACAUGAUGUAUACGUAGACACAAAGACAUGACCGACGUCAAGGACCCACGUUUCAGAGGUUUAAAAAAAGGAAGUGUAACCUUGUAUAUAUAUCGUC